UCCAUACUUGCGCAGUGUCGGUUGUUGCCCAGAUGAGGUUCUCCGAUGGGUAACGGUAUGCUGAACACAAACAAUUUACCACAGUGGACUUUUUAACCGGUCCGUCUGUGACGGGCAUGCCUCAAGCCCAGCCACGUGCGAAGAACACGUGUUCUGCGCUUGGUGGAAAUUUUUGGAAAGUAUUUCACGUUCUAUCCCGCAACCAACGACAAAACGCUGGUUUUUAUGCUCCAGUUUUCUUGUAUAUCCUUCCUUCUAACCUUGCAGACGUCUUGUGGUGGACGUGAUGUCCCAGUCAGCGGGGGCGGGGCAGGGAGGGGUAUCCGUGCUCGCUACCACUGCUUGGAUAGUGCGCCGUCCAUUUGUUGAAGGCGUCCUAUACAAAAACGACGCAUUGAUCAGUUCGUUCGGCGGCCACCAUAGGUUCCAGAUUGUCACGUUUGCCCAAACUGCCCCGUUCCUAAUACGAGCGAGCCCUGUCCGAAGUAUUGCCGAGGCGCAGCAACUUUUGGCGGCGUCCACCAUAAGAAGAGCACAGCUUCCUUCCAUUCGUCUUUGAACCAGACUCUCUGACGGCCGCGAGUGCUCCAGUUUACAAAUAAUUGGACGCUGGGGCUCUAAACUCUGCGGGAAACAUUCAGCAACAUCCUUUGCCAAUGCAAUAGGAGCGCUCAAUAGCCCGCAGAUGGUACAGUCUGUGCAUCCGCAUCCAGUUUGCCCAUGGACCAAAACGGGACUGUUUCUAUCAUAUUCAGAGGAGGCUUCUCGGAUGCAGUCACCGUGCAGGUGCCUCGAGCACCGCGCCCCGAAUCAGCAGUGCGAGGCCUCCGUUGGUCAGGGAGUGUUGCCCUCGUGAACACAUGCAGGCAUCGAUGCAUGAGAGCGAGUCUCGUUGAAAACCUCUCGAGCCCAGCACGGCUCGACUCGUGUCAAAUACCAUCCUAGCCAGCCUUAGCUCCUUCAUUUUUUCUUGCGCGUCGGUAUUCGCGGUGGCGUGAUGGAGCGCGGUAUGCCGCCUCCAGUAUACGUUGACACCACAUUAUUCACAGCUGAACCAACAGAGAUGCCGAAUUUGGCUUUCUUAUCCGUCGGCUUGAGAAUCUGAAAACUACACAUGAGCGUUUCAUCUACGCUCAUCAUCGCGCCAGCGUUAUCAAAUUCUCCGCAGUAGUUUGGAGCCGAGAAAAUUGUAACAAGGCGGCGGUCACAGAAGAAUUCAUAUCCAUCCUCAACGACCUGAUGGGCGCGACAGAUGAGAUCGAGCUCAAAUUUUUCGAGGAAACGUUUCACAACGUCUGGUCCGAAGGUGAAACUAACUCCUCGAUCGUUUUCGCCCCAGCCUUUCACAUCCUUAUCCGGAUCACUCCAUAAAAGAUCACAGAGGAGGCCUUGGUCGGGCACGUCCGUCGGACGUGGAAGUUGCCGAAUUUGAUUCAUCGAAGUGAGUUCUGGCGAGAGACCACCAUGACAACAGAAAAUCUUUUCAUCCACAAUGGCAGCUACAGGCAGGCAGUUGAACAUAUCACAAAAAGUUUUCCAGAGCUUCACGUUGUAUCUUCGCCGGCACUCGUCGUAAAAGCCAUAAAUUCGAUUGAUGCUUGCCGACUCGUGGUUGCCGCGCAAAAUAAAAAAGUUGCACGGGUAACGA